CCUUCAUCUUCACUAUAAAAAACAACCAAAACAGACCCUAAAAACAAACGACCCCUUUUUCUUCAAACAGAGGACACAAAAAAAGGACUGUUCAUCAUCUUCUUCGUACAACAAAUGACCCAGUUCUUCCAAAAAACGCAGUGAAUCCAAACGAAUCCCUCAAUCGUACAACCAACGACUCAAUUGGUUGGAUUCUGUACGAAUUUGCCUUGCUGUCACUUCUCUUAGUACUAUCUUGCAAAAUUUAGGGAUUAUUGGUAUGAAAUGGUACGAGUUUGUUAAUAUUUUGUCUCAUUACGAUGUUUUGAUUCUUGAUUUUGGGGAGAAGUUCAAAUUUGGGGGGGGGGGGGGGGGGGAAACAUGUGGAAAACGAAAAAUCCCACAUCGGUUGGAGCACAAUUUUGUGCAUUUCUUGGGUUUUAUAAAUAGAAACCCUUCCUCUCAUUUUUUGGGGAAUGAACAAUGGAAGAGGCCAAAUUUAUGGUUUCUACACCUCAAAGGGUUUAUGACAACCCUAAGGGCUUGAACACUCAAAAAUUCGGCUAAAGCCUUGAGUUUCGAGGAAGUUAGAGCCCGUAGUUUAAUUGUUGAAGUCGAUUCGAUUCGUCGAAAUUGUCAAGUUUGGUGAAAGGUGAUUAAUUCGACCUCGUUGCCCCCGUCGCUGCUCGACAAAAAGGCACAAAAAUAAAGAAUGUUCAGGGAAUAUCAUAAGGAUAAAUAUGACAUGUGGAGCAUAAACAUGGAAUAAAUAUGACAUGUCGAGCAUAAGCAUGGAAUCUGGAUCAGGGGAAUGACAAGAAGAAAACUACUAAAGACGAGGCAAAAAACUUAGACAUUUGGAGCUUCGACAAAGAAUAAAGAAAGAAUGGAAUUGCAACUAAAUGUCCUAGAAGGCAAGGAGAUAGGCUUAGUUAACUAACCCUUCUCCACCAUCCUCUUCUCCCUCUCUUUACUUACUUUAAAG